UACUUAUCAAGAGAGGUGGAGGGAAAGGCCCUUUGAAACCUCGGCAACAGACUCAUUAUGAGCACUGUGCCAAUUCCUUCAAGCGAUUAUGCUUGGAAGAUGAGUU
rfam:Paenisporosarcina sp. HGH0030 genomic scaffold acAqH-supercont1.1, whole genome shotgun sequence.